AGGAUAAACGCUGGCGGCGUGCAUGAGACAUGCAAGUCGAACGGACGACUCGGGCUUGCUCGAGUCGUUAGUGGCGAACGGCUGAGUAACGCGUAGGUGACCUGCCCCCGAAGUGGGGAAUAACUGCCCGAAAGGGUGGCUAAUACCGCAUGUGGUCGCACGUUCACUCGUGCGAGUAAAGCCGCAAGGCGCUUCGGGAGGGGCCUGCGUCCGAUUAGCUCGUUGGUGGGGUAACGGCUCACCAAGGCGACGAUCGGUAGGUGGUCUGAGAGGACGAUCACCCAGACUGGGACUGAGACACGGCCCAGACUCCUACGGGAGGCAGCAGUCGGGAAUUUUGCUCAAUGGGCGAAAGCCUGAAGCAGCAACGCCGCGUGAGGAUGACGGCCUUCGGGUUGUAACCUCUUUCUCAGGGACGAUGAUGACGGUACCUGAGGAAUAAGCCACGGCAACUACGCGCCAGCAGCCGCGGUAA
rnacentral:rRNA from 1 species